AUUGAACGCUGGCGGCAGGCCUAACACAUGCAAGUCGAACGAGUGGCGGACGGGUUAGUAAUGUCUGGGAAACUGCCUGAUGGAGGGGGAUAACUUCUUGAAACGGUAGCUAAUACCGCAUCCCAUCAGAUGUGCCCAGAUGGGAUUAGCUAGUCGGUGGGGUAACGGCUCACCAAGGCGACGAUCCCUACCUGGUCUGAGAGGAUGAACAGCCACACUGGAACUGAGACACGGUCCAGACUCGUACGGGAGGCAGCAGUUGGGAAUAUUGAACAAUGGGCGAAAGACUGAUCGAGCCAUGCCGCGUGUAUGAAGAAGGUAUUCGGGUUGUAAAGUAAUUUCAGCGGGGAGGCGUUACCAACAGAAGAAGCACCGGCUAACGUCGUGCCAGCCGCCGAGGUAAUAC
rnacentral:rRNA from 1 species